UAAACUUUGGCCUUUCUUUACAAAUUUUUAUAUUUGAAUCUAUAGUGUUUCGUGUUGUUAUUCUUCUCUCUUUUUAAUCCAUUUUGAUUGUGAUAUCUGUUUUGGAUUAUUCUCUCUUUGUUCAGAAGUGACUAAGGCAGGAAAUCGGACUUGUCUUCAGACCCAACAGGAGCAUCAAUCAAAAUCGAAAUUGGGUCCUUGGAUGAUACGAAGGCAGCUUUUUCUUUGGCCAAUGAGAAUUACACUAUUACAAAUUCCGGCAGAUUCACCUUAAAUCGAGAGUUCAUUACAGCCAAUAAAAAUAGUUGCAAACCGAGACUUUUGGCUUGAAUAGAGUGAGGAAAUAGGAAAAGAAGAAGAAUAUAAACGAUCUAAAGAACAUAAGGAGAAAAGAGUGCUACUUGGUCAUGAGUUGCUGCCCCAGACAAACAGUUGGGUACUGUGAUGAGGUCAUUGGGGUAAAAUCAAACUGAAUCUGAAAUGAGGUUGACGCUAAUCAGAAUGGAACAUAUGUUUUUCCUGAGUUCUUGAAUUGGAUGGCAUGGAAAAUGAAGGUUCCAAAUUGUUCAACAAAUUUAUGUUCUGAUAAGAAGGCAACUGUAGUGAACUUGAUUGAUGGGCAUGGAAAGUCUGUAAGGCAAUUAUCAAAGAAGAUGUAAUAAGUAACUCAAGACCAAUGUCUUUACACUCAUACAGCUCAACAUGCUCAAGAUUCUUGUUGGAUCGGCAGCGGCUGGUUCUCUGGGUGGAUUCAAUGCACAUGCAAGCAACAUAGUCACAUGUAUCUACAUAGCAACUGGCCACGAUGCAGCCCAGAAUGUUGAGAGUUCUCAAUCAUCACCUUUGUCGAACCCAUCUCUGUGAACAUGCCUUCGAUUGAGUGCGCCCCAACUUGCAUCUCCGUCAGCCUGUCGCAACUUACUUGGCUUGAAGGGUGCGAACAAAGAUUCAGCAACAUGUCUGCUCUCAAAACUAGGCAGCUUUUUAAGAGCCACAUGAAGUACAAAAAAUCAAACAAAGAUAUCUCCAAAGCUACCUCUUAAGACAAGGCGGAAAUAAAAGGACAACAACCCACCGAUCAAAUGGAGUCAUUAAGAUGAGUAGAAUUUUUUUAGAGGCGUGGGACUAUUGUGGUUGAUGGAAUUUUUAUUAAAAAUUGUUUUAAAGGGUGGGAAAAGUUAGUUAAAACAGAAAAGGGUGGGAGCAUUCAUUCUAUUA